AAUUCGAUGGCUCGUUUGUUUAUCUCCGUCCCAUGCCCUCACGGGUGGUGGGUCGGACGCCAGGCAAGCCUCGUGUUCCCGGCACGCCUAGCCCAGUUGCAUGGCUGCCUCGGCGCACGAGGCUCUUCGCCCGUGCUCUCGGAUUCGGAAUGUUAUGUGCUGCGGGUGGGUGGCUCAUCGGAGGCACUCCAUCCGGUCAAGCGAGGCAUUUUGUCCAACGAGACGAACGACUGCUGCACCCGUCCUUGGGCCCGCGGCCUCACGGCUCGGCAGGGCUCAUG
rnacentral:misc_RNA from 1 species